CCUACGGGGUGCUGCAGUGGGGAAUAUUGGACAAUGGGCGAAAGCCUGAUCCAGCCAUGCCGCGUGUGUGAAGAAGGCCUUCGGGUUGUAAAGCACUUUCAGUGGGGAAGAAAGCCUUGGGGCUAAUACCCUCGAGGAAGGACAUCACCCACAGAAGAAGCACCGGCUAACUCCGUGCCAGCAGCCGCGGUAAUACGGAGGGUGCGAGCGUUAAUCGGAAUUACUGGGCGUAAAGCGCGCGUAGGCGGUCUGAUAAGCCGGUUGUGAAAGCCCCGGGCUCAACCUGGGAACGGCAUCCGGAACUGUCAGGCUAGAGUGCAGGAGAGGAAGGUAGAAUUCCCGGUGUAGCAGUGAAAUGCGUAGAGAUCGGGAGGAAUACCAGUGGCGAAGGCGGCCUUCUGGACUGACACUGACGCUGAGGUGCGAAAGCGUGGGUAGCAAACAGGAUUAGAUACCCGUGUAGUC
rnacentral:rRNA from 1 species